AAGUCUGCAGAUGUCCUUUAUUUUCAAUCUUUGGACUUCAGUAUGAACCCUGGUGGCACUUUUCCAAAAGGGAACUGACUCAUUCUUUCCUCAGAGGUAGCAGCAGCUGAACCCGAUGACUGCUGUGUGGAACGUGACCCCUGAAAACUGCAAUUAAGAGGUACUGGACUGGCUUGGCCCUGUGACAUCUAGUUGCCCAAUAGGUAUGAUUCAAACCAUGCUGGCUUUUUGGUGAACUGUAGGCGGAUGUCAGGCACAUGAAAGCUGAAGCAAACCAGAGGAUCUUGUGAAACUGGUCACAUCCUGGAAACAAAAGUCACCCAAAAUGUACAAGUAAGGUCAAGUAAGGGGUUUUCCCGAAUCUGAUUUGAAAAGUAGUAGACUCUAUUAAAUAUGACAGUUCUUCAAAUUUUGUUGCUUUUUAGGCAAAGAUUAGGGCAGGGUUGUUGUUGCACACGUUUCUUAACGAACAGCAAAAAUAAUGAAAGGCAAAAAAACACAGGAGGAAAGAUGACAACAGAUUAUCAACCAGCACAGCAUGCAGACAACAGAUGACCAAUGAUGACAUACACAGCAGAAUCAACAGCAACAGAGAAUUGAAAUGGAAACUAUGGGGAAGUGAAUUCAGAGCUAAAAACAGGAGGAAUUCCUUACACUGAAGAUUGCGGAACAAGCUACCUACAGUAACCAUGUUGUUUAAGCUGAUGCCCUGACUUAAUUCAAGAAAUAGCUGGAUGAGAUGCUCAGAUCACUAUAGCCAAAUGGGUUAGACAGGAGGAAUGACCUCCUCCUGUGUGUAACCUCUCAUGUGUUUGAAUUCAACUAAAGAAAACAUUUCCCCACGAAUUGUAGAUAAAGUUGCAGAGACUAGGCCCCACAGAACAGCCGCAUCUGAACACGUCUUCAUGGGGAAAAAACCUCCCUCAGGUUACAGAGCACACUUCAGGGCGCCAGCGAGUACCACUCGGAAAUGCCUCUGAGUAGUCAAAUAAGUUAUAUGAAUGAAAUUAAAAUGAAUUUAUCUGAUGGUCAGGGUUUUCAGAGGCUGACAUAAAAUUGUUACAAACUAAAAUUACCAUCUGCAUCAGGUACGUCCCUAUUCUAGAAAGCACCGAUCACAAGCAUGGGCAGUUACAUGUGUGUGAGGAAGUCUACAUUUCUCUGCAGUUGAGGUAUCGCUCAAAAGGUUCACAACUCAGCCAAACAGGCAGCUUCCUGUGAAAGCCUUAUUUCAUGCUUAUUUUAUCCUUUAACUAUAUAUUUUAUACUUUAACACUAGAUGUAGGUGUAAAUGUUUAAAACAGUUCAACACAAUUAUAUGGGCUUCAUUAAAGGGGGUUGGCCUUUGAUCAUGUUCAUUAUCUGAUCCACAUUAUACAAGCUGACAAAAAACAUUGUCCUCUGUGUUACCCCCUCCUGCUCUGUGAAUAGAUGUAGAAAAGGCUUUCGAUCAGGUUAAGUGGGAACACAGUGUCUGUGGCCUGUUUUGGAUAAUGUGUUUAGAAUCAGGUUUCACUGACAUGGUUAAAGUAUUCUACAGUCUGUUAACACCUCAGGUAUUGUCGUGCAAUAAAUGUUAGUUUGUUGUUUCUAGUGAUAGUUGGUGGGGAUGCCCGUGUUCAUCUUUGUUCUUUGCCUUGUCUGUGAAAGCUCUAGCUCAGGUAAUUUGUCAAUCUGCAAUUUUUACCUCUUUUACUCUUAAUAAUACUAAACACUUUUUAUUAACUUCAUUGAUGACAGUAUGUAUUUAACUGAUGUAAACUGUGAAUUUCAC